rnacentral:lncRNA from 1 species
CGUAACCACCUUCUUGAAAAUUUGCUUUGGCUGUUCAUAAUGGAAAUGGAAAAAUGGAAGAACAGUUGAAGUCACUUUUAGCAGAAAAAAAUACAGAACUGUCUGGCCAGGUUUAUUGGAUUUUCACCGCAGUAGUAAGAAGAUGUACUAAUUCUGUGGCUGACAUACUGAACUUCUACCCCCUUUUCAAACGAAUCCUUGCCCAUUCUUUUUCAUGA